UACGGGGGGGGCAAGCGUUGUUCGGAAUUACUGGGCGUAAAGCGCGCGUAGGCGGCUUUUCAAGUCGGACGUGAAAGCCCCGGGCUUAACCCGGGAAUGGCGCUCGAUACUGUUGAGCUAGAGUGUGGAAGGGGCUACUGGAAUUCUCGGUGUAGCGGUGAAAUGCGUAGAUAUCGAGAGGAACACCUGCGGCGAAGGCGGGUUGCUGGGCUGACACUGACGCUGAAGUGCGAAAGCUGGGGGAGCGAACGGG
rnacentral:rRNA from 1 species